UGUCCAGUAACUCCUAUCCCUACCUCCCCGUGGUGCCGCCUGGGAUACGAGUUACCGUAGGGAAGA
rnacentral:ribozyme from 1 species